rnacentral:rRNA from 1 species
GCAAGUCGAACGGAAAUAUGAUUAGUUUACUAAGAUUAUUUUAGUGGCGGACGGGUUAGUAACACGUGAGCAACUUACCUCAAAGUGGGGGAUAGCCUUCCGAAAGGGAGAUUAAUACCGCAUGUGACCUCCGGGUCAAAGACUGCUUCGGCAGUCGCUUUGAGAUAGGCUCGCGUCCUAUCAGUUAGUUGGUGAGGUAAUGGCUCACCAAGACUACGACGGGUAGCUGUUCUGAGAGGAAGAUCAGCAACACUGGAACUGAGACACGGUCCAGACACCUACGGGUGGCAGCAGUCGAGAAUCAUUCACAAUGGACGCAAGUCUGAUGGUGCAACGCCGCGUGGAGGAUGAAGGCCCUAGGGUCGUAAACUCCUGUCAUAGCAGAGUAAGGCAUAUUAGUUAAUAGCUAGUAUGUUUGAUAGUAUGCUAAGAGGAAGGGACGGCUAACUUCGUGCCAGCAGCCGCGGUAAUACGAAGGUCCCGAGCGUUAUUCGGAAUCACUGGGCGUAAAGGGAGCGUAGGCGGCGCGGUAGGUCAGAUGUGAAAUCUCAGAGCUCAACUCUGAAACUGCAUUCGAUACUGCCGUGCUAGAGUAAUGGAGAGGUAACUGGAAUUCUCGGUGUAGCAGUGAAAUGCGUAGAUAUCGAGAGGAAGACCAAUGGCGAAAGCAGGUUACUGGACAUUUACUGACGCUGAGGCUCGAAGGCUAGGGUAGCGAAAGGGAUUAGAUACCCCUGUAGUCCUAGCAGUAAACGAUGUGCGCUUGGUGUGGGAGGGUUCGACCCCUUCUGUGCCGGAGCUAACGCGUUAAGCGCACCGCCUGGGGAGUACGGUCGCAAGACUAAAACUCAAAGAAAUUGACGGGGACCCGCACAAGCGGUGGAGUAUGUGGCUUAAUUCGAUGCAACGCGAA